AGUGAACGCUGGCGGUAGGCCUAACACAUGCAAGUCGAACGGCAGCACAGUAAGAGCUUGCUCUUACGGGUGGCGAGUGGCGGACGGGUGAGGAAUACAUCGGAAUCUACUUUUUCGUGGGGGAUAACGUAGGGAAACUUACGCUAAUACCACAUACGACCUACGGGUGAAAGCAGGGGAUCUUCGGACCUUGCGCGAUUGAAUGAGCCGAUGUCGGAUUAGCUAGUUGGCGGGGUAAAGGCCCACCAAGGCGACGAUCCGUAGCUGGUCUGAGAGGAUGAUCAGCCACACUGGAACUGAGACACGGUCCAGACUCCUACGGGAGGCAGCAGUGGGGAAUAUUGGACAAUGGGCGCAAGCCUGAUCCAGCCAUACCGCGUGGGUGAAGGAGGCCUUCGGGUUGUAAAGCCCUUUUGUUGGGAAAGAAAAGCAGCAGGUUAAUACCCCGCUGUUCUGACGGUACCCAAAGAAUAAGCACCGGCUAACUUCGUG
rnacentral:rRNA from 1 species